rnacentral:rRNA from 1 species
AUGGGGGCAAAAAUUGACCGAUUUGUUAAUGAUGGUGGAGGCCCAAUUUUUUUUAAAAUAAAUGGUCAGGUUUGUCAUCGUAUAGGCUCGUUGCUUCCCAAUGAAGGUGAUACACCCAAGUAUGCAGAGUUAUAUAUACAUGAUAGAGAAAAUGAGGUUAAUAAUAGAAUCCAGGUUUUAAAUCACCAUGAUGAAAAAGGUGCCGGGUUGGAUAAGGACACUGUGAGGGGUCUUAUGCAAAUGCUUGAUACAAAUAAUUCUUUAGUCAAAAAGUUUUGUAUGACUGCGGAGAUAUUAGAACAAAAUAAACAUGAGGUGAUUUCAAUAAGGCUUAUAGCUCCUGGCGAGAAUGAUAGCCCUCAGUUUAGUUUACCGGCGACGGAUGAGCUGGCGGCUUUGGUUUAUGGUGAGUUCACGUUAGAGGCACCAUGUCGAGAUCUGAUCAUACGGACUAAAGGCGACAGACUGCACCGUAUUUCUUCUUUGGAUACCACCUACAUGUCCUUGCAAUACCCUUUGCUAUUUCCAUAUGGUGAGCGUGGUUUUCAGCUCAGUGUGCACUACAUGGGUGUUGAUGUUGAUGACCUGAACAAUAGGGUGAAAAUGACCAUGCAAGAUUAUUACUGCUUUUGUUCACAUUAUAAACCAAAGCAGCACAAUCCAUAUCUUUGAUGUGGCCUAUUGUCAUUACAGGCUGCUAUUGACUUCCGUGCUUGCAUUGAUGAGUGCCGCCUCAAUUUUAUUCUUAAGUGUAACGAUGAAAUGCAGGCUGAAAAUCUUUAG